rnacentral:rRNA from 1 species
UGCCAGCAGCCGCGGUAAUACGGAGGGGGUUAGCGUUGCUCGGAAUUACUGGGCGUAAAGCGCGCGUAGGCGGUACACAUAGUCAGGCGUGAAAGCCCCGGGCUUAACCCGGGAACUGCGUUUGAUACUGGUGUGCUAGAAUCCGAAAGAGGGCAGUGGAAUUCCCAGUGUAGAGGUGAAAUUCGUAGAUAUUGGGAAGAACACCAGAGGCGAAGGCGGCUGCCUGGUUCGGUAUUGACGCUGAGGUGCGAAAGCGUGGGGAGCGAACAGGAUUAGAUA